rnacentral:rRNA from 1 species
UACGUAGGGUGCAAGCGUUGUCCGGAAUUAUUGGGCGUAAAGAGCUCGUAGGCGGUUUGUCGCGUCUGCUGUGAAAACUCGGGGCUUAACUCCGGGCCUGCAGUGGGUACGGGCAGACUAGAGUGCGGUAGGGGAGACUGGAAUUCCUGGUGUAGCGGCGAAAUGCGCAGAUAUCAGGAGGAACACCGGUGGCGAAGGCGGGUCUCUGGGCCGUAACUGACGCUGAGGAGCGAAAGCAUGGGGAGCGAACAGG